rnacentral:rRNA from 1 species
GUCUUGAAGCACGGGCCAAGGAGUCCAACAUGUGUGCGAGUCUUUGGGCGCACUAAACCCAGAGGCGAAAUGAAAGUGAGACGGUCCUCCGUCCUCGGGCGGUGGACCAGGGCCGAUCCCCGGCCGGCUGCCUGUUCCGUCUCUCCUUCGCUCGCGGGGUGAGUCCCUUUCCUCCGCGUCGGAGCGAGUCGGUGGGCGAUGGUCUUUUCAUCCUGUUUGGCAGGAGGGGCGCAGGCCCGGGACUUGCCUUAGGCGCCGCGUGUCCCCCGACGCGCGCUCUUUCCUAGGGCGUGCCGAGUGGGGGCGAGCGUGCAGUCGGCAAGUACCAUGAGCAGGCAUGUUAGGACCCGAAAGAUGGUGAACUAUGCCUGGCCAGGAUGAAGCCAGAGGAAACUCUGGUGGAGGUCCGUAGCGAUUCUGACGUGCAAAUCGAUCGUCGGAGCUGGGUAUAGGGGCGAAAGACUAAUCGAACCAUCUAGUAGCUGGUUCCCUCCGAAGUUUCCCUCAGGAUAGCUGGAACUCGACAUGAGAUGAAUUUCAUCCGGUAAAGCGAAUGAUUAGAGGUCUUGGGGACGAAACGUCCUCAACCUAUUCUCAAACUUUAAAUGGGUGAGAUGCCGAGCUUGCUUAAAAGAUGAAGCCUCGGCGACGAAUCCGAGUUCCUAGUGGGCCACUUUUGGUAAGCAGAACUGGCGCUGUGGGAUGAACCAAACGUCGAGUUAAGGGGCCUAAAUGAAUGCUCAUUCAGAUCCCAUCGAAAGGUGUUGGUUGCUAUAGACAGCAGGACGGUGGCCAUGGAAGUUGGAAUCCGCUAAGGAGUGUGUAACAACUCACCUGCCGAAGCAACUAGCCCUUAAAAUGGUAUGGCGCUCAAGCAUUCUCCCGAUACUCGACCGCCGGGGCACUACCGGUCCGCUUCUUCCGCCGCCACCUAUUCGGCGGCGGCGGUGGGUUACGGCGGGUCUCGAAGCCCCGGUGAGUAGGAGGGUCGCGGUGGUGUGCGCUGAAGGGUUCGGCGUGAGCCGGCCUGGAGCCUCCACUGGUGCAGAUCUUGGUGGUAGUAGCAAAUAGUCGAGAGAGAGUCCCUUGAAGGCCGAAGUGGAGAAGGGUUCCAUGUGAACAUCAGUUGGACAUGG